UACGGGGGGGGUAAGCGUUGUUCGGAAUUACUGGGCGUAAAGGGCUCGUAGGCGGCCAACUAAGUCAGACGUGAAAUCCCUCAGCUUAACUGGGGAACUGCGUCCGAUACUGAAAGGCUUGAAUCCGGGAGAGGGAUGUGGAAUUCCAGGUGUAGCGGUGAAAUGCGUAGAUAUCUGGAGGAACACCGGUGGCGAAGGCGGCAUCCUGGACCGGCAUUGACGCUGAGGCGCGAAAGCUAGGGGAGCAAACGGG
rnacentral:rRNA from 1 species